rnacentral:rRNA from 1 species
GUGUAGGAUAGGUGGGAGGCUUUGAAGUGUGGACGCCAGUCUGCAUGGAGCCGACCUUGAAAUACCACCCUUUAAUGUUUGAUGUUCUAACGUGGGCCCCUAAUCGGGGUUGCGGACAGUGUCUGGUGGGUAGUUUGACUGGGGCGGUCUCCUCCUAAAGAGUAACGGAGGAGCACGAAGGUUGGCUAAUCCUGGUCGGACAUCAGGAGGUUAGUGCAAUGGCAUAAGCCAGCUUGACUGCGAGCGUGACGGCGCGAGCAGGUGCGAAAGCAGGUCAUAGUGAUCCGGUGGUUCUGAAUGGAAGGGCCAUCGCUCAACGGAUAAAAGGUACUCCGGGGAUAACAGGCUGAUACCGCCCAAGAGUUCAUAUCGACGGCGGUGUUUGGCACCUCGAUGUCGGCUCAUCACAUCCUGGGGCUGAAGUAGGUCCCAAGGGUAUGGCUGUUCGCCAUUUAAAGUGGUACGCGAGCUGGGUUUAGAACGUCGUGAGACAGUUCGGUCCCUAUCUGCCGUGGGCGCUGGAGAACUGAGGGGGGCUGCUCCUAGUACGAGAGGACCGGAGUGGACGCAUCACUGGUGUUCGGGUUGUCAUGCCAAUGGCACUGCCCGGUAGCUAAAUGCGGAAGAGAUAAGUGCUGAAAGCAUCUAAGCACGAAACUUGCCCCGAGAUGAGUUCUCCCUGAGACUUAGAGUCUCCUGAAGGAACGUUGAAGACGACGACGUUGAUAGGCCGGGUGUGUAAGCGCAGCGAUGCGUUGAGCUAACCGGUACUAAUGAACCGUGAGGCUUAACCUU